AACGAACGCUGGCGGCAGGCCUAACACAUGCAAGUCGAGCGAGGACUUCGGUCCUAGCGGCGGACGGGUGAGUAACGCGUGGGAACGUGCCCUUUGCUUCGGAAUAGCCCUGGGAAACUGGGAGUAAUACCGGAUGAGCCCUUUGGGGGAAAGAUUUAUCGGCGAAGGAUCGGCCCGCGUUGGAUUAGGUAGUUGGUGGGGUAAUGGCCUACCAAGCCGACGAUCCAUAGCUGGUUUGAGAGGAUGAUCAGCCACACUGGGACUGAGACACGGCCCAGACUCCUACGGGAGGCAGCAGUGGGGAAUCUUAGACAAUGGGGGAAACCCUGAUCUAGCCAUGCCGCGUGAGCGAUGAAGGCCUUAGGGUUGUAAAGCUCUUUCAGCUGGGAAGAUAAUGCCGGUACCAGCAGAAGAAGCCCCGGCUAACUCCGUG
rnacentral:rRNA from 1 species